rnacentral:lncRNA from 1 species
GCAAUUCCCCCGACAUAUUUUCCGUAUGCAAAGUGACCUCAGUGUGACCCAUCUCGUAAAAAUCCGGUGAUCGCAAUACGCAUGGCUGUCCUUAAAAUAAACUGAUUGUACAUGUUAAACACGUUCUCAAUAUCCAUACUUUUUUGUUGAUUGUUGACAAACAGGUGACAAUCGUUUAACUUUGGCUUCAAAACACGAACUUUCAUUACCUGCC